GCCUCUGUGAUGUAAUAGGAGCAUAAACGGCUGAAAACCGUUUUGACCAAGUGCAAAUCUUGGCGGAGGCAC
rnacentral:tRNA from 1 species